UACAGCCAUAUCAUGCUGAAACAUUGGUUCCCGUAUGAUCACCAAAGUUAAACAACAUUGAGCCUGGACAGUACCUAGAUGGGUGACUGCUUUGGAAUACCAUGUGCUGCAAG